CAGCAGUUGGAAGGGAUCCCAGGGACCAGCUCAGCCACUCAGGGCAGCAGCCAGGCAUCUGUGCAGAGGAAAGUCAACCGAUUUUUCUGUAAAAAUGUGAAACUAGCAGUGUAAACCAUUAUUUUGAAAUACAAAGGUAAACAGAAGAGACCAGUGAAAGCAUAUAAAGUAGCUAUCUUGUGGGAGAGGAAAGGAAGAUAUAGUGGGGACUCCGUUUUUUAUUUUGUAACGUUUGGGCUGACUUUCCAGAAUUACCCAGGAUUGACCUGUGGGAGAUGUCUAGCCAACCCCUACCUUGCAAAGCUUCACCUGGGUGAUGAUAUUGAAGGUCCAGUGCAGAUCAAUGGGGGCUCCAUAGCAAAUGAGAAACAGAGGAAGAACUAACCUUCCUACCCACCAGUGCCCACUGACACUCAACCACAGCUUUGCUCUUGUUUCUGGAGGAAGGGCCAUGGGGAUCAACUCAAGAACAUGGUAGAACAGAGAUGCAUGCUGAAUUAGUUGGUUGUAAGCACAAAAUUAUUUUGGUAGUUGUUGCAAAUUGCUUCACUUGGUUUCAGUGUAGAACUCAAUGGUAAUGCGAAUACACUUGAUCUCCAUAGGGUCGUUGUGGGGACUCAAUGAGAUAGAUUCUGUAGAGUUUUGGGCUUGAUUGGUGCAGUGUUCAAUGAGUGAGCUGGGAGAAACUCAUCUCCCCACUUCUGGUGUUUCCUUCCAGGAGAACAAAAGUCUCUCUUGGUAGCACCCCUGGCCUCUCUGUCUGCUCCCUGGUUCUGCCUUUGGAAGUGGGAGGUGAUGUGCUUGGUAGGGAAGCCUGAGGGCAGGAGCUGGGCCUGGGUAGCUCAACUGCUUCCUCUUCCAUUCUCAGGAGCCAGUUGUCUCUGGGAAGCACCCAUUCUGGUCACUCCAUAAAUGUACAGGGGCAGGCUGGAUCCUUCCAGGGAAGAGGGCUCCAGCUAGGGUGGUGGGUCAGCUCAUUCAGGAGUGUUCCUAGCUGACACGUUGGGCCAAGUGCCUGGUGAACAAGUAAUGGAAUGUGGGGAGCAAAUUAACACUCAAAAACCGAGACUUUUGAGGGGACCAGGCCAUUAGAUUGUUUUUUGUUGUGUUUUGUUUUUUAUAGGCAAGCUGCUAUUUUUAUACAGGCAUAGGCCUUAGCAAAAGUGGGCUGAGCUGGUUCCCGAGGCCUUAGGCUAAGAGCUAUUCAGCUCAACCUGGGCAAAACAGUGCCUGCCUCGGCAUGGGCCACUGGGUUCUCUGAAGAUGCCUGUAGGCCUCAGGACUCCUGUGGGUAGGCAUUGCAGACAGUAUGCUUUGAUUACAAGGAAAAGAAGGUUUACCCAUAUGUAGACUCUGUUAGCGUCUGACUGCUGCUGUCACAAAUCACCGCCGUAGUGGCCUAAGACAAGCUUCUUAUCUCGCUGUUCUGGAGGUCAGAAGUCCAAAAGCGUUUCACUGGGUCAAAAUCAAGGUUCGUAGCCAUGUUCCCUCCAGAGGCUCUAGGAGAGAAUCAAUGUCCGUGCCUUUUGCAGCUUCCAGAAGCUCUCUGUCUUCCUUUGCUGUUGAUCCUUUCCUCCUCCUUCAAAGCCAACAGUGUAGCAUCUUCUCAUCUCUCCCUGUUCUGUUGUUAUAUCAGCUUUUCUUCACUCUGAGCCUCUGGCCUCCUCUUAGAAGGACCCUGGCAAUUACAUUUAGGACCCACUGGGGUAACGUAGCAUAAUCUUUCCAUCUCUAGAUCUUUAAUUUCAUCACAUCUUCAAUAUCCCUUUACCACAGCCACAGGCUCCAGAGACUAAGCCAUAAACAUCAUUGGACAGAAACAUCAUUAUUCAGCCUAGCAUAUAGACCUUUUUUGAAUUUUUAAUUUUUAUGGGUACAUUGUAGGUAUAUAUAUUUAUGGGGUACAUAGGUACUUUAAUACAGGCAGGCAACGUAUAAUAAUUCCAUCAGGGUAAAUGGGGUAGCUAUCACCUCAAGAAUUUGUCCUUACUUUAGUGUUACAAACAAUCCAAUUAUACUCCUUUAGUUAUUUUAAAAUGUAUAAUAAAUUUUUAUUGAC